AGGAUGAAUGCUGGCGGCGCGCCUAACACAUGCAAGUCGAGCGGAAAGGCCCUUCGGGGUACUCGAGCGGCGGACGGCUGAGUAACGCGUGGGAACAUGCCCCAAAGUGAGGAAUAACUGCCCGAAAGGGUAGCUAAUGCCGCAUAUGAUCUUAGGAUUAAAGGAUUUAUCCGCUUUGGGAGUGGCCCGCGUACGAUUAGGUAGUUGGUGAGGUAAAGGCUCACCAAGCCCACGAUCGUUAACUGGUCUGAGAGGAUGAUCAGUCAGACUGGAACUGAGACACGGUCCAGACUCCUACGGGAGGCAGCAGUGAGGAAUCUUCCACAAUGGGCAAAGCCUGAUGGAGCGACGCCGCGUGCAGGAUGAAGGCCUUCGGGUUGUAAACUGCUUUUAUAAGUGAAGAAUAUGACGGUAACUUAUGAAUAAGCACCGGCUAACUACGCGCCAGCAGCCGC
rnacentral:rRNA from 1 species